rnacentral:rRNA from 1 species
UGGGGAAUAUUGGACAAUGGGGGGAACCCUGAUCCAGCAAUGCCGCGUGUGUGAAGAAGGCCUUCGGGUUGUAAAGCACUUUAGUUUGGGAAGAAGGCUUAUAGUUUAAGAGACAAUAAGUUUGACGGUACCGAAAGAAUAAGCACCGGCUAACUCUGUGCCAGCAGCCGCGGUAAUACAGAGGGUGCAAGCGUUAAUCGGAGUUACUGGGCGUAAAGGGCGCGUAGGCGGUUAGUUAAGAUAGAUGUGAAAUCCCUGGGCUUAACCUAGGAACUGCAUCUGUGACUGUCUAGCUAGAGUACAGUAGAGGGUAGUGGAAUUUCCGGUGUAGCGGUGAAAUGCGUAGAGAUCGGAAGGAACACCAGUGGCGAAGGCGACUACCUGGACUGAUACUGACGCUGAUGCGCGAAAGCGUGGGGAGCAAACAGG